rnacentral:lncRNA from 1 species
CAAAUCCUCAAUGAGGUUAAGAUCCUUUGCCAGGUCAACCAUAGAAGCUUAGUGAGGCUUUUGGGUUGUUGUGUUGAGCUUCCAAAUGAGCCUCUUCUUAUAUAUGAGUACGUCCCUCUGAAUCUGUCAUAAUAAAUACUUCUUUUUUAUUUUAUUUGCUUUAAACUCCAUAAAUUUGCCAUUAACAUUUUAAAGAUGGAAACUCAAGUAAAGUUAACUUUAUUUGAAAUUGAAAUUGAUAGUUUGAGAAUCAUUAAAUAAAAAUUUAAUCAAAUUAAUUAAAUUAUUUAAGUGCUUUCAACUAUCAAUUUUACCUCAUCAGUUUUAAGAAUCAUAUUCAAUACUUAAAUUAGGUAUGUCUCCAAUGGCACCCUCUUUGACCACCUUCACAACAAGAACUCCAGCAAAUGGAUCCGUCUUGGAUGGCAUUCAAGGCUAAGAAUCGCACACCAAACAG